rnacentral:rRNA from 1 species
CCGGAGUGACGGUACCUGAGAAGAAAGCCCCGGCUAACUACGUGCCAGCAGCCGCGGUAAUACGUAGGGGGCAAGCGUUGUCCGGAAUUAUUGGGCGUAAAGCGCGCGCAGGCGGCUAUUUAAGUCUGGUGUUUAAACCUUGGGCUCAACCUGGGGUCGCACUGGAAACUGGGUGGCUUGAGUACAGAAGAGGAAAGUGGAAUUCCACGUGUAGCGGUGAAAUGCGUAGAGAUGUGGAGGAACACCAGUGGCGAAGGCGACUUUCUGGGCUGUAACUGACGCUGAGGCGCGAAAGCGUGGGGAGCAAACAGGAUUAGAUACCCUGGUAGUCCACGCCGUAAACGAUGAGUGCUAGGUGUUAGGGG